rnacentral:rRNA from 1 species
UACGAAGGGGGGCUAGCGUUGCUCGGAAUUACUGGGCGUAAAGGGAGCGUAGGCGGAUAGUUUAGUCAGAGGUGAAAGCCCAGGGCUCAACCUUGGAAUUGCCUUUGAUACUGGCUAUCUUGAGUACGGAAGAGGUAUGUGGAACUCCGAGUGUAGAGGUGAAAUUCGUAGAUAUUCGGAAGAACACCAGUGGCGAAGGCGAACAUACUGGUCCGUUACUGACGCUGAGGCUCGAAAGCGUGGGGAGCAAACAGGAUUA